rnacentral:misc_RNA from 1 species
GAUGAAGAACGUAGUGAAAUGCGAUAAGUAAUGUGAAUUGCAGAAUUCAGUGAAUCAUCGAAUCUUUGAACGCACAUUGCGCCCGCUGGUAUUCCGGCGGGCAUGCCUGUUCGAGCGUCAUUUCAACCCUCAAGCCCCCGGGUUUGGUGUUGGGGAUCGGCUCUGCCCUUCUGGGCGGUGCCGCCCCCGAAAUACAUUGGCGGUCUCGCUGCAGCCUCCAUUGCGUAGUAGCUAACACCUCGCAACUGGAACGCGGCGCGGCCAUGCCGUAAAACCCCAACUUCUGAAUGUUGACCUCGGAUCAGGUAGGAAUACCCGCUGAACUUAAGCAUACAAUAAGCGGAGGA